AGACGGGGUCCGCACAAGCGGUGGAGUAUGUGGUUUAAUUCGACGCAACGCGCAGAACCUUACCUAGACUUGACAUCCCGGGGAUUUUCUGGAAACAGAGAAGUGCUUUAGCAAUAAAGAACCGGUGACAGGUGCUGCAUGGCUGUCGUCAGCUCGUGUCGUGAGAUGUUGGGUUAAGUCCCGCAACGAGCGCAACCCUCGCCUUUAGUUGCCAGCAUUCAGUUGGGCACUCUAGAGGGACUGCCGGUGUCAAACCGGAGGAAGGUGGGAUGACGUCAAGUCCUCAUGGCCUUUAUGUCUAGGGCUACACACGUACUACAAUGGCCGGUACAAAGGGCAGCCACUCAGCGAUGAGGCGCUAAUCCCAUAAAGCCGGUCUCAGUCCGAAUCGCAGUCUGCAACUCGACUGCGUAAAGUUGGAAUCGCUAGUAAUCGUAGAUCAGCAUGCUACGGUGAAUACGUUCCCGGGCCUU
rnacentral:rRNA from 1 species